rnacentral:rRNA from 1 species
CGUCAAAUCCUCAUGGCCCUUACGCCUGGGGCUAGACACGUGCUACAAUGGUCGGUACAGCGGGUUGCGAGCCGGUGACGGCAAGCUAAUCCCUAAAAACCGAUCUCAGUUCGGAUUGGAGUCUGCAAUUCGACUCCAUGAAGCUGGAAUCGCUAGUAAUCGCGGAUCAGCAUGCCGCGGUGAAUACGUUCCCGGGCCUU